rnacentral:rRNA from 1 species
CUGCCCAGUGAAUUUUCAUCGGCCGCGGUAUCCUAGCCGUGCAAAGGUAGCAUAAUCACUUGCCUAUUAAUUGUAGGCUAGAAUGAACGGAUAAACGAAGUAACCCCUGUCUCUUUCAUAAUAACAAAAACUAAUAUUUGAAUGAAGAAGUUCAAAUAACAUUAAAGGACAAGAAGACCCUGUAGAGCUUUAUCUAAACUUAUAUAAAUAAGGACAGAUUAGGUUGGGGCGACCAAGGUAUAAAUACAUCAUCCUAACAGCAAAGAUAAAUUAAUCAGACAAAAGAUCCUUUUAAGAUCACAAAAUCAAGCUACCUCAGGGAUAACAGGCUAAUUUUUCUUCAGAGUCCUUAUCAAAAGAAAAGGUUGGCACCUCGAUGUUGGCUUAGGGAAUCUAAACAGCGCAAAAGUUGUAAG